AGCGGCUCCUGGUGGCGCUCCCCUUCCCGCUGCAGAUGUGCCCUGGGGAGGCUGGAUAAAGCCACCAGCGAGAGGGAUUAAUUGAUUCAGUGUUUGCUGGCUUGCUGUGCUAUUUAAAGGACCACACACUAUUUUUUUUCUAUCCAGAGAAGAAGGCUUUGAACAACAAACCAGGCAGAAGCAUCUGCUGCCCUCCAGUUUCCUUCAGCCUGCGGUUUGAUGCUAAUGCUCCGGGCGUUGCGUAGCUGAUGGGAGCACCGUGUCCCCCCAGGUCACGCCGUGAGGAGCUGGAGACAUCACGGAGCACCAGCUCCCACUGGCCUUCAGCCACGUUUAGCUCUUCUGGAUUUCAGAACUGCAGGGUUGUUUCAGCCCAGCCUUUGUGUAUCAGAAAGGGGUCGCCAUCCUUCUGCUUCCAUGGCAGAGCAGCAUCUCCGACAGUGACUCUAGAGCUUUAACAAGGGGUGGACAUGAACGGUGGGCUCGUCCACCACAGCUCCCCAGAGCGAAGGAAAUGAUACAGAACUUCUGGAGAUACUGCUGAGCUGUUAGCCCACCUCUCCUCCCCUCCUUGCAGUUACUCUUCUGUUGAGAGCUCCAACGCAGAAAUUGUUCCUGCCUUCCUUGUCUAUUGACACUGCUCGACCUCCCAUCCCUGCUCCAUUCUGUGCUUGAUGAACCCCUGAAGGGCUGUGCCACGGCAGAACACAAUUGAUAAAUAAAGCACUUCAGUUCCUUCAGUUUUAUCUGCCACAGCCCCUGGCUGCUUGCUGCAACCCAUGGGUGUGAGCUUUGGCAAAGGCUGCGUUGGGCAGACCACAGCGUGCGGCUGCGGGGAGAGCAAAUGCAACGUGGCCAGAAGACAGCAACGUGCAGGUCCUGUGGAAGCCCAUACAUCACACGAGUCCCUAAACUGGCAUCAGCAAGAAGCCAAAUAACAGUGGUUUGAGCCCCCCAGCCUUGGCCGUCCUCUCUCCCAUACAGGUCUCCCUGUACAGACUGAAACAUGAACCUCUGCUGCUGCAUAAAGGACAGAGAGGCGCAUUAAGGAAAUUGAGCGCGGCAUUACUCAUCCCUACCCACACGCAGGAGGCCAGUCCUGGUGCUGCUCAGCUCCAGGAGCCAUCUCCCCAUGCUUUUGGGCCAUGCCAGCAGCAGUCCCUGGUCUUGCAGGCAUCAGCGUGGGUCAGAGACCCUGCCCCUUCGUUCUGCAGGUGGAGGGAGUGAAUGGCUAUGGGCACGGCUCAUCCCCUGCCAGCUGGCCACCAUCCAAGGAAAGAGUCCCAGGCAUUUUUAAUUGAUUAGCAGAGAGGUAGCCUGAUUGACUUGGCCGUCUGCUUACUGGGAGCUGAGACUUCUGUCAAGAUCUGGUCAUUUGGAGGCGGUGAAUCUUUGCCCUCAGUGAGGACUUCUGGAUCUGACCCAAAGGAUACAUUGGACAAAUACCAUGGGAAUAAAGGAAAUACUUCUGUCAACAGAAAAUCCACAGAUAAUCUCCAAAGGGCAACCCUGCUAACAAAUUUGUUGAUGGUAUGUUCUGCCUUGGGCAGAAACUGCUGAGCAUUUUGUACAAUGCUUAAACUUGAUUACUUCGUGUUGUGCAACUAUAAUCACGUCUGAGUGUUAAUGUAGGCGAAUUAGGAACAGGAUUAAAAUUAUUUUUGGGAGUGAAAUGCAGUCCUUCUGAUGAGGUAUAAAAUUAGCUGUGUCUCAGCAAAGGCCCAGCUGAA